rnacentral:lncRNA from 1 species
CUUUUAGUGCCAGGGCAACCUCAUCUGUGCCAGUCGAAUUGAAGUCAUCAACAGUGGUACUAGAUUGUGGAUAUCACAGAACCAGAACAAAUAUACCACCCGAUAGCUUUGUUCACUACUUUCCUGUGUGAAGCAUUGUGUUAAAUGCCACAGAGAGAAAGUGAGGUUAAAUCCGUAAUGGAUACUUCCUUUUGGCAGAGUAUUUACAAACAGCAAACUGUGGAGAUUUCUCAGAGCCAAACACCACAAAGCAACUCUGAGUGAAAAGUUCAAGAAUGGAAGGUCCCAAAGGUCUGGCUUCUUUUGAGCUCUCCAUUUCUCUCUUUAUCUGAUCAUCAUCAUAAUCAUAGGAUGUGGACUUUGAAGGGCUAGAAGAAACUUUAAAGAUGAUCUAUUCCACUGCACUUGGAGAGAAAACUGGGAUUUAGAGUCUGGGAGGCCGAGUGCUGAAGCAAGACAAGCAAAUGGGGGAGACGAAUGAGUUGUGGAGGUCCAGUACCUGGCCUGCUGGUCUACCAGAACAAGCCCCUGCACUGUACUGCAUUGCAAUUUCGAAACUCUUUCCAGUUCUAAAUUGUGAGAACUAUACUCUGUGCUUAAGCCUGUCCAAUGUAUUUGGUGAAAGUGUUUCUGAAAAUAAAAAGGUGUGGGAGCUGGGUGGAGCAGGAGAAAAAGGAAAACUGACAAUCCUUUCUAGCUGAAAAGCUUCCCUUUGUUACAGCUACAACUGUCAUCAGCUACUAUCUCCUGCAGCCCCAGUUGGUCUGAAGCCUUUGCUCAAAAAGGCCACCCAGCUCCUAAUGACUGUAUAUCUCAUGAUUCAAGUCUAAACACUCGUUCUUAUUGGUGGAGAGAGUGAUUAUUCAGUGCUUUGAGUCAGAGCUGGUGGAAGCUUGGGAUCUCUUGUACCAAUUCCUCCCACCACACAGACUCAGAACAUUCAGGAAUUAUUCCUUCCACCAAUGAGAAGAGUCCUUAUGCAAAUGCUGAGGCAAGCUUGGCUCCCGGGUUCCAGCUGUGUUUUUGGACAUGUUUACAAGAAGUCAGCAAGGUAUAAAUAGAAAGAAUAGUGGAUUCGGUGUAAGGUGACUUGUGUUGGGUCCUGGCUGAGUUCAUGGAUUCUUCAUGGAAUAGGACAGAUUCCUCUUCAUAAUUCACUGAACCAGCUACACCCAGCAAAAGAACUCUGGGAGAUGACUAAAAACCAUUACAUUGUAUUCCCAAUGCCUAUAUUUUUGCCCACCUGCAUUUUGGAUUUCCUUCACAGGCUAAUUGUACAAUAUUUCAGAGUCCGAUUCUUUUUGUACAGCAAAAUAACGGCUUGGUCAUACACUAUAUUUAUGGUGUAUCUAAUUUAUACUUUAAUAUAUUUAACAUCUACU